rfam:Cyphellophora europaea CBS 101466 unplaced genomic scaffold supercont1.3, whole genome shotgun sequence.
GGGGGUAUAGCUCAGUGGUAGAGCAUCAGAUUGCAGUGCGUUCGAAUAUCGACGCGGAAUAAUCUGAGGGUCCGUUGUUCGAGCCAGCGUGCUCCCU